UGCGCAGGCGGGCUUGUAAGUCAGUGGUGAAAUACUGCCGCUUAACGGUAGAACUGCCGUUGAUACUGCAAGUCUUGAAUAUGGUUGAGGUAGGCGGAAUGUGUCGUGUAGCGGUGAAAUGCAUAGAUAUGACACAGAACGCCGAUUGCGAAGGCAGCUUACUAAGCCAUUAUUGACGCUGAGGCACGAAAGCGUGGGGAGCGAACAGGAUUAGAUACCCUGGUAGUCC
rnacentral:rRNA from 1 species